rnacentral:rRNA from 1 species
AUUGAACGCUGGCGGCAGGCCUAACACAUGCAAGUCGAGCGAGCGGCGGACGGGUGAGUAAUGUCUGGGAAACUGCCUGAUGGAGGGGGAUAACUACUGGAAACGGUAGCUAAUACCGCAUACCAUCAGAUGUGCCCAGAUGGGAUUAGCUAGUAGGUGGGGUAACGGCUCACCUAGGCGACGAUCCCUAGCUGGUCUGAGAGGAUGACCAGCAAGACGGGAAAUGAUACACGGUCCGAACUCCACCGGGAGGCAGCAGGGGAGAAUAUUGCACAAGGGGCGCAAGCAUGAUGCAGCCAUGCCGCGUGUGUGAAGAAGGCCUUCGGGUUGUAAAGCACUUUCAGCGGGGAGGCGUUACCCGCAGAAGAAGCACCGGCUAACUCCGGGCCAGCAGCCGCGGUAAUUC